rnacentral:lncRNA from 1 species
UGCAGGUACACAUUCAUAUUCUUCCCCGGAUAAUUGGGCCCUGAAAUUAUCAAUGUCAGAAAUAUGUUCUUUCUUUGCAUAAUCUGCCCAGGGGGAGAUUGAGUGGAAUGACAAAUACAGGCCAACAACUGUAUUGGGUUGCCGUCAUGCCGAAGGGAUUAAAACCAUCCAUGGCGAUGCAGACUCGAGGAUUCCUUAGAUCUGCCGCUUUAUCCUGAUGCAAUCCAUAGAAAUGUUUCCACGCUUCCCUAUCCGAUGUGUGUACCGCCAUCUUAUUCCCAUCCACAUCUAGUUCGGUUCUUUUGCCCAAUUUGUGCCAUGUCAUCUGUCUGGCUGUCUCUUCGACCAUGAAAAGAUGUUGAAGCCUUGGUACGGUUGGCAUAUACCGAAG